UACAGAGGUCUCAAGCGUUGUUCGGAUUCAUUGGGCGUAAAGGGUGCGUAGGUGGUGACGCAAGUCUGGUGUGAAAUCUCGGAGCUUAACUCCGAAAUUGCACCGGAUACUGCGUAACUCGAGGACUGUAGAGGAGAUCGGAAUUCACGGUGUAGCAGUGAAAUGCGUAGAUAUCGUGAGGAAGACCAGUGGCGAAGGCGGGUCUCUGGACAGUUCCUGACGCUGAGGCACGAAGGCCAGGGGAGCAAACGGG
rnacentral:rRNA from 1 species